AUGCAAGUCGAGCGGAGAUAGGUGAAGCCUAGCGAUUCCUAUCUUAGCGGCGGGAUGGGUGAGUAACACGUGGGUAACCUGCCCUGUACUGGGGGAGUAACAGCUGGAAACGGCUGUUAAUACCGCAUAUGCGCACGGAGCCGCAUGGCCCUGGGCGGAAAGAUUCAUCGGUACAGGAUGGGCCCGCGCCGGAUUAACUUGUUGGCGGGGUAACGGCCCACCAAGGUGAUGAUCCGUAGCCGACCUGAGAGGGUGACCGGCCACAUUGGGACUGAGACACGGCCCAAACUCCUACGGGAGGCAGCAGUGGGGGAUAUUGCACAAUGGGGGAAACCCUGAAUGCAGCGACGCCGCGUGAAGGAAGAAGUAUUUCGGUAUGUAAACUUCUAUCAGCGGGGAAGAAGAUGACGGUACCCGCACAAGAAGCCCCGGCUAACUACGUGCCAGCCGCGGC
rnacentral:rRNA from 1 species